UUAUCUUAUUUAGUGUCUCUUAGAUUCUUUAUCUUAUUUAGUGUCUCUUAGAUUCUUUAUCUUAUUUAGUGUCUCUUAGAUUCUUUAUCUUAUUUAGUGUCUCUUAUAUUCUUUAUCUUAUUUAGUGUCUCUUAGAUUCUUUAUCUUAUUUAGUGUCUCUUAGAUUCUUUAUCUUAUUUAGUGUCUCUUAUAUUCUUUAUCUUAUUUAGUGUCUCUUAGAUUCUUUAUCUUAUUUAGUGUCUCUUAUAUUCUUUAUCUUAUUUAGUGUCUCUUAGAUUCUUUAUCUUAUUUAGUGUCUCUUAGAUUCUUUAUCUUAUUUAGUGUCUCUUAGAUUCUUUAUCUUAUUUAGUGUCUCUUAUAUUCUUUAUCUUAUUUAGUGUCUCUUAGAUUCUUUAUCUUGAAGUGUUUCCAUUAUUAGUCCAGGUAUUAUUAUAAUCAUCUGUUCAUUCUUUGUAUUUUGAAACAUUUUUUAAUAAAGGGGUUUGUUGUUGUUUACCUCUCAUGAUGUUAUUGAUUAUAAAUGUUAUGAUAUUGAUUAUGAUGUAGAUUAGUGUUAUGUUGUUAGUAGUAUAUAGAUAAUGAUGUUAUUGAUUAUAAAUGUUAUGAUAUUGAUUAUGAUGUAGAUUAGUGUUAUGUUGUUAGUAGUAUAGAGAUAAUGAUGUUAUUGAUUAUAAAUGUUAUGAUAUUGAUUAUGAUGUAGAUUAGUGUUAUGUGGUUAGUAGUAUAGAGAUAAUGAUGUUAUUGAUUAUAAAUGUUAUGAUAUUGAUUAUUGAUUAUGAAGUAGAUUAUUGUUAUGAUGUUGCUCUCUAAACUGCCAUGUAAUCAACUGAAUGCUUUUAAUAAAAUUACAGGCUGUCA